rnacentral:rRNA from 1 species
UGGGGAAUAUUGCACAAUGGGCGCAAGCCUGAUGCAGCCAUGCCGCGUGUAUGAAGAAGGCCUUCGGGUUGUAAAGUACUUUCAGCGGGGAGGAAGGGGGUAAAGUUAAUACCUUUGCUCAUUGACGUUACCCGCAGAAGAAGCACCGGCUAACUCCGUGCCAGCAGCCGCGGUAAUACGGAGGGUGCAAGCGUUAAUCGGAAUUACUGGGCGUAAAGCGCACGCAGGCGGUUUGUUAAGUCAGAUGUGAAAUCCCCGGGCUCAACCUGGGAACUGCAUCUGAUACUGGCAAGCUUGAGUCUCGUAGAGGGGGGUAGAAUUCCAGGUGUAGCGGUGAAAUGCGUAGAGAUCUGGAGGAAUACCGGUGGCGAAGGCGGCCCCCUGGACGAAGACUGACGCUCAGGUGCGAAAGCGUGGGGAGCAAACAGG